AACAGCUCACUGGUCGAGUGGACAUGCGCCGACAAUACACGGGGCUAAGCUGGACACCGAAGCGGCGGGAUUUUAAUUCAUUAGAAUCGGUAGGGGAGCUUCCCAUGGGCGGAGAAGCCGGAGGGCGACCGACGGUGGAGCGCAUGGGAGUGAGAAUGCUGGCAUGAGUAGCGAGAGACGAGAGAGUAACUCGUCCGCCGUGAACCCGAGGUUUCCUGGGCAAGGCUAAUCCUCCCAGGGUCAGUCGGGGGCUAAGGCGAGGCCGGUAGGCGUAGCCGACGCGCAGCAGGCAGACAUUCCUGCACCGCGCACGCGGCGCUACGACCGACGGGGCGACGGAUGGGGGUGGCUCGGCGGGGUUCUGGACGUCCCCGUGAUGGAGCGCGGCCCGCGGACCAGGGAAAUCCGGUCCGCAGAAGGGCGAGGCUCCGGACGAAGCACUUAAGCGAAGCGAGUGAGCCCGAGGUCCCUAGAAAAACCCCUAGGCAGGCGCGUGCGCGCCCGUACCGCAAACCGACACAGGUGGGUGGGUAGAACAUACCGAGGCGAUCGGGUCAACCAUGGUCAAGGAACUCGGCACAAUGGCCCCGUAACUUCGGGAGAAGGGGUGCCCGCGCGUACGUGAACGGACUUGCUCCGGGAGCGGAGGCGGGCCGCAGUGGAGAGGCCCAAGCGACUGUUUACCAAAAACACAGGACUCUGCAGAAGCCGCAAGGCGACGUAUAGGGUCUGACGCCUGCCCGGUGCCGGAAGGUCACGCGGAGGAGUUAGCCGCAAGGCGAAGCCCCGAAGCCAAGCCCCGGUAAACGGCGGCCGUAACUAUAACGGUCCUAAGGUAGCGAAAUUCCUUGUCGGGUAAGUUCCGACCUGCACGAAAGGCGCAACGACUUGGGCGCUGUCUCGACCAUGGACCCGGUGAAAUUGCACUGGUCGUGAAGAUGCGACUUACCCGCGGAAGGACGGAAAGACCCCGUGAACCUUCACUGCAGCUUGGCAUUGGCCGCUGGUCCCGCGUGUAGAGGAUAGGCAGGAGGCAUCGAUCCGGAGGCGCCAGCCCCCGGGGAGCCGCCCUUGGAAUACUGCCCUCGCGCGACCGGCGUCCUAACCCGAGGCCGUCAACCGGCUCGGGGACCGUGCCAGGCGGGCAGUUUGACUGGGGCGGUCGCCUCCUAAAGGGUAACGGAGGCGCGCGAAGGUCCGCUCGGGACGGUCGGCAACCGUCCUUUUGAAUGCAAGAGUACAAGCGGGCUUGACUGCGAGGCCCACAAGCCGAGCAGGUGCGAAAGCAGGCUCUAGUGAUCCGGCGGCCCCGAGUGGGUGGGCCGUCGCUCAACGGAUAAAAGGUACUCCGGGGAUAACAGGCUGAUCUUGCCCAAGAGUCCACAUCGACGGCAAGGUUUGGCACCUCGAUGUCGGCUCAUCGCAUCCUGGGGCUGGAGCAGGUCCCAAGGGUACGGCUGUUCGCCGUUUAAAGCGGUACGCGAGCUGGGUUCAGAACGUCGUGAGACAGUUCGGUCCCUAUCCUCCGUGGGCGCAGGAGAAUCGAUGGAGGCUGCCCCCAGUACGAGAGGACCGGGGUGGACGCACCUCCGGUGAACCGGUUGUCGACCAACGGCACGGCCGGGUAGCCGCGUGCGGCGCGGAUAACCGCUGAAGGCAUCUAAGCGGGAAGCCGUUCCAGGGAUUAGUUCUCCUUCCGGUAAGGGCCCAGGUAGACUACCUGGUCGAUAGACGGCAGGUGCAAGGACGGCGACGUCCUCAGCCGAGCCGCACUAAUCGCCCGAGCUCUUCCGGAA
rnacentral:rRNA from 1 species